CUGGGAUGAAACACCAUGACCAAAAAGCAAGCUGGGGAGGAAGGAAGGCAUUUACUCAGCUUACACUUCUACAUUGCUGUUCAUCACCGAAGGAAGUCAGGACAGGAACUCACACAGGGCAGGGAUCUGGACACAAGAACCUGGAGUCAGGAGCUGAUGCAGAGGCCAUGGAGGGGUGCUGCUUACUGGCUUACUCCUCAUGGUUUGCUGAGCCUGCUUUCUUAUAGAACCCAGGACCUCCACCCCAGGGAUGGCCCCACCCACCAUGGGCUGGGUCCUCCUCCAUUGACCACUGAUUGGAAAAUACCUCACAGCUGGAUCUCACGGAGGCAUUUCCUCAACUGAGGCUCCUUCCUCUCUGUUGACUCUAGCUUGUGUCAAGUUGACACACAACCAGCCAUGACAGUGCCCAAUCUUCAGUUUUAGGGGAAGCAACCAGUGAUGAGAUUUGUAUGUAAAUCACGAAAGUAGCUCCCUCUUUUCAGCUGCUGAGCAGGCCAGGGCCUUCAGAAAGGCACAGGCAGUGCUUUAGUGCCCCAUGUUCCUAUGACCUGUGGAUUCUUCCCUCAGGAGCUGGCAGGCUACACUGGAGGAGAUGUGAGCUUCAUCAAGGAAGACUUUGAGCUUCAGCUGAAUAAGCCGCUUGUAUUGGAUUCGGUGUUCUCCACGUCCCUCUGGGGUGGAAUGCUGGUGCCCAUCGGUGACAAGCUAUCCAGCAUUGCUGACAG
rnacentral:lncRNA from 1 species